CAUCAAGAGCCGUUAUGCAAUUAAUGAGUGAUUGUCUGAAAGGCUUCGAGUCUCCACUGCCAAUCAGCAAGGCCUGGAGAAGGAUAAGCAGCGGCUCCUGGAUCUUCUCGGCAGAUCUGAACUGAAGCGAGGCGGCUGCUGAAUGAGGGGCGCCAGGGUGCUGCCAGUGAAAUGAGAAGACGAAAGUCCCAGAUAAGAACCUUUCCAGUGACCCCCCCAAGCCACGUAGAGAGCCAGCGAGGUGUGUCUUCGACCCCGGCGUAUCUGCCAGACGGUGUGUGGGGGCAUCUCACUGCUCCUUUGGAGGUGUCCUUCGCCCAGUGAGACCAACCUCCCAUUAGAAGAAAGGCUCUCGGCUCCGUCCUUGCCUGCCCUGCUUGGCUCUCAGCCCCAUCCCCGGCCUGCCCCAUCCCCGGCCUGCCCCAUCCCCGGCCUGCCCCAUCGGGCUGUACGCACCAUCCCUGGCCUGUCCCCUUAACAUGCUUUAUUCUGAGAACCUCAGCAGCCUAUUGGCCGGUCUGAUCGUGCUACAGUGGGGUUUUAAAAUGAACUAACGCCUGCAUGGUGAUAACUCGUCGUCUAGAUGCCGGCCGUGGCCGAAGAGGCUCAGCGUUAACCUGACCUCACACCCGGGCGUUAAAUGGAUGUGAGCAACGUGAGGAUGCCGGGGGCCGUGGGACAGCAUGUGGUCCUGCCCGCAGUUGCCAUUGCGGUGACCCUGGGCACCAGCUGCUCGUCACAGUGAAGAUGUGCGGGGGAGGGCAAAUUACCCAGGGCAAGGUGCCUGUUGGGCUGUAAUCAUCUCCAAGCAUCGCUGGAAAUUACGGGGCCCCGGAGAGCUGAAAACGAGGCCGUGUCACAGCCCACGAUUUCUGGGCAUACUCUCAGGCCCCCUGUACCAGCAAAUGUUCAGGAUGCAGCGCUGACUGGUUUAGCCACUGGUCAGCACACACACACCUGGACAGGCGCGCCGGGAACACGCAUGCUCUGGGCCGUCUGCAGAGGUGAGGCGAGGAUGAGCUUCCCCCUAAGUGGCAUGGUUAAUCUCCAAAAGUAACUUCAACAGUAUCUUCAGAAGGCAUCUGAGAGAUGAGGACUGUGAGUAGCUGCUGUCCCCAAACAGAAGGAGAGAUGCAGCCUUAAUCCGCUCCCCACCCACAUGUGACGGAUAUUCUAGCCAAAGGAACAACUAGAAAUGAACCUGGAGUGUUUUGGAGGAAAUUUGUCUAAGUUGUGUUUAGGCUCAGUCAGCAACGGAAACAAUAAGCCGUCAGAGUGGACAGACUGCAGCCCUCCUGUAACAGAUCAAACAUGCUGAAACUGUAGGAAAAGCAUCUCAAGCAUGGUUAAACCACUGUCAUGUGACCACACCACAUGACUUGCAUGUUUUCCAGAGUGUGGCGUGACGAUUACGUCGCUGAAUUUCUACCGGAACUGUCUGAAAUAUGAUACGUGCAUGUGUAUAACAUUUAAAAUAGGGGGAAGGUUCAAAUGUGUUAAAACAUGCUGUGUUAGUGUG